UACGUAGGUGACAAGCGUUGUCCGGAUUUACUGGGCGUAAAGAGCGCGCAGGCGGUCGAUCAAGUCGAGUGUGAAAGCCCCCCGGCUCAACUGGGGAGGGUCACGCGAUACUGAUCGACUCGAAGGCAGGAGAGGGAAGUGGAAUUCCCGGUGUAGUGGUGAAAUGCGUAGAUAUCAGGAGGAACACCGGUGGCGAAGGCGGGUCUCUGGGCCGAUACUGACGCUGAGGAGCGAAAGCGUGGGGGAGCAAACAGG
rnacentral:rRNA from 1 species